UUUUAUGGUACGUUUUGGGCGUAGGGCAUGCGUGACUUAAUUAGGCAGAUCUUGGGCCUAGGCUAUCUAAUAUGAUAGCCUAAGCCUAUCCAAGGGUGGAGACCCACCCAAAGAUAUCCAGAAAUGGUGUGUGUGACUUGUGAUUUGGGUAUGCAUACCCCUGAUAUCUCAUUGGCAUAUCAGGAGUAAAAAUAAAUCAAUAUUUUCACUGAUUCUUAAAAACUCAGGAUAUGAUCAAAGAUGUUCCUGAUAUGCUGCAUGUCAUAAAAAAUAUCCGGUCAGUAUAUCCCCUGAUUCAGAGCCUUUUCACCCAGUGAUGGUCUAUCACAGACAGGU